GAACAAAUCUCAAUUUACACAACGUCUGUAGCAGAACUAGGACCAGAAUUUUCGAUCUUUACUGUUUGGAUUGUUGCUCCAGUUGCUCAGUUGCUUUGUUUAGUUGGAUUUUUUCGUUAACUUGUGAUCCAAGACCACUCUUGUUGCUGAAGAAAAAGACGAGCCUGGAAAAACAGUGGGCAGGAAUGAAAUGCAUGGGCAUGAAGGGCACCUACCUCACUUGCUGCCUGGAAAUCUCAUUUCUGCAGAGAGGUGCCUGGGGGUCACAGGAAGCAGCUGAGAAAAGAAGCACAGCUCCCUGGUGAUGCUCCUGAUGGAGGGAGACGGGGAUGGCGCUGGAUUCGGCGACAGAAGGGAAACGUGUAGGAGAUGGCUCCGCAGUUCGCUUGAUUUUUACCCGAUGAUUUACAAGGUAUGUAAAUUAGGAAGCAACCG
rnacentral:lncRNA from 1 species